AGGUGGCUGUAACAGAAGGGGUUGCAGCGUUCCGUCGAAAGGCGGAAUGGAAAAGCGGGCGAAUUCAGGGAAGCCUACCUCUCUUUGGAGACACGGUAACCCUGAGCGAAGCCCCCGAUUCGGUCCGGGUCGGGGGAACGUGCAGAGACUAGACCGGAAGGUCGUACCCCGGCCGUUAGCGUGGCCGGGGGAAGCGCCCGCCCCCUAAGGGCCGAAGCCGGGCCUAUGGGGAAGAGAUAGUCCAAGCCCCGUGGAAACGCGGGG
rfam:Candidatus Rokubacteria bacterium RIFCSPHIGHO2_02_FTLL_69_13 rifcsphigho2_02_scaffold_118082, whole genome shotgun sequence.